GACAGAGGAUGCAAGCGGAAUGAUUGGGCGUAAAGCGUCUGUAGGUGGCUUUUCAAGUCCGCCGUCAAAUCCUAGGGCUCAACCCUGGACAGGCGGUGGAAACUACCAAGCUGGAGUACGGUAGGGCAGAGGGAAUUUCCGGUGGAGCGGUGAAAUGCAUUGAGAUCGGAAAGAACACCAACGGCGAAAGCACUCUGCUGGCCGACACUGACACUGAGAGACGAAAGCUAGGGGAGCAAAUGGG
rnacentral:rRNA from 1 species